GAGUUUGAUCAUGGCUCAGAUUGAACGCUGGCGGCAUGCCUUACACAUGCAAGUCGAACGGCAGCACGGGAGCUUGCUCCUGGUGGCGAGUGGCGAACGGGUGAGUAAUGCAUCGGAACGUAUCCUGGAGUGGGGGAUAACGUAGCGAAAGUUACGCUAAUACCGCAUAUUCUGUGAGCAGGAAAGCGGGGGACCUUCGGGCCUCGCGCUCUUGGAGCGGCCGAUGUCGGAUUAGCUAGUUGGUGAGGUAAAGGCUCACCAAGGCGACGAUCCGUAGCAGGUCUGAGAGGAUGAUCUGCCACACUGGAACUGAGACACGGUCCAGACUCCUACGGGAGGCAGCAGUGGGGAAUUUUGGGCAAUGGGGGCAACCCUGAUCCAGCCAUGCCGCGUGGGUGAAGAAGGCCUCGG
rnacentral:rRNA from 1 species